GACGAACGCUGGCGGCGUGCUUAACACAUGCAAGUCGAACGGAAAGGCCCUGCUUUUGUGGGGUGCUCGAGUGGCGAACGGGUGAGUAACACGUGAGUAACCUGCUCUUGACUUUGGGAUAACUUCAGGAAACUGGGGCUACUAUCGUAUAGGAGCUCCUGCUGCAUGGUGGGGGUUGGAAAGUGUCGGCGGUUGGGGAUGGACUCGCGGCUUAUCAGCUUGUUGGUGGGGUAGUGGCUUACCAAGGCUUUGACGGGUAGCCGGCCUGGGAGGGUGACCGGCCACAUUGGGACUGGGAUACGGCCCAGACGCCAACGGGAGGAAGCAGUGGGGAAUAGUGCAAAAUGGGCGGAAGCCGGAUGCAGCAACGCCGCGUGCGGGAUGACGGCCUUCGGGUUGUAAACCGCUUUCGCCUGUGACGAAGCGUGAGUGACGGUAAUGGGUAAAGAAGCACCGGCUAACUACGU
rnacentral:rRNA from 1 species